GACAGAGGAUGCAAGCGUUAUCCGGAAUGAUUGGGCGUAAAGCGUCUGUAGGUGGCUUUUCAAGUCCGCCGUCAAAUCCCCGGGCUCAACCUGGGAAUGGCGAUGGAAACUGGGCAGCUAGAGUGUGUCAGAGGAUGGUGGAAUUCCCGGUGUAGCGGUGAAAUGCGCAGAUAUCAGGAGGAACACCGGCGGCGAAGGCGGGUCUCUGGGCCAUAACUGACGCUGAGGAGCGAAAGCGUGGGGAGCGAACAGG
rnacentral:rRNA from 1 species